rnacentral:rRNA from 1 species
AAGACCUUGCGCUUUUGGAGCGGCCGAUGCCUGAUUAGCUUGUUGGUGAGGUAAAAGCUCACCAAGGCUUCGAUCAGUAGCUGGUCUGAGAGGACGACCAGCCACACUGGGACUGAGACACGGCCCAGACUCCUACGGGAGGCAGCAGUGGGGAAUUUUGGACAAUGGGGGAAACCCUGAUCCAGCCAUGCCGCGUGAGUGAAGAAGGCCUUCGGGUUGUAAAGCUCUUUCAGCCGGAACGAGACGGUUACGGUUAAUACCCGUAACUACUGACGGUACCGGAAGAAGAAGCACCGGCUAACUACGUGCCAGCAGCCGCGGUAAUACGUAGGGUGCGAGCGUUAAUCGGAAUUACUGGGCGUAAAGCGUGCGCAGGUGGUUUUGCAAGUCAGAUGUGAAAUCCCCGGGCUCAACCUGGGAACU